rnacentral:rRNA from 1 species
ACGUACACUCCUACGGGAGGCAGCAGUGGGGAAUAUUGGACAAUGGGCGCAAGCCUGAUCCAGCCAUGCCGCGUGAGUGAUGAAGGCCCUAGGGUUGUAAAGCUCUUUCACCGGUGAAGAUAAUGACGGUAACCGGAGAAGAAGCCCCGGCUAACUUCGUGCCAGCAGCCGCGGUAAUACGAAGGGGGCUAGCGUUGUUCGGAUUUACUGGGCGUAAAGCGCACGUAGGCGGACUAUUAAGUCAGGGGUGAAAUCCCGGGGCUCAACCCCGGAACUGCCUUUGAUACUGGUAGUCUUGAGUUCGAGAGAGGUGAGUGGAAUUCCGAGUGUAGAGGUGAAAUUCGUAGAUAUUCGGAGGAACACCAGUGGCGAAGGCGGCUCACUGGCUCGAUACUGACGCUGAGGUGCGAAAGCGUGGGGAGCAAACAGGAUUAGAAACCCUUGUGGUCCCAUG